GCAACACAAUUUUUAAUUAAAAAAAUAAAAUUUCUUUUUCUUUAAUAGAAAACUAAAUAAAAAUAAAAAAAUUAUGUCAUCUCUACCACCAAUCUCUUCUCGAACCCAGCGGCGGCAUAGUCACUAACUCAGCUCCGCCGUCCACCUAAUUCUCCUUACUGAUUUCACCAUUAGAUCUCUUCUCAAUCUGCCCUUCUUUCCUCCUCUUCCAUU
rnacentral:lncRNA from 1 species